UACGGGGGGGUGCGAGCGUUGUCCGGAAUUACUGGGCGUAAAGCGUGCGCAGGCGGUUAUGUAAGACAGAUGUGAAAUCCCCGGGCUCAACCUGGGAACUGCAUUUGUGACUGCAUAGCUAGAGUACGGUAGAGGGGGGAUGGAAUUCCGCGUGUAGCAGUGAAAUGCGUAGAUAUGCGGAGGAACACCGAUGGCGAAGGCAAUCCCCUGGACCUGUACUGACGCUCAUGCACGAAAGCGUGGGGGAGCAAACAGG
rnacentral:rRNA from 1 species